AGAACGAACGCUGGCGGCAUGCCUAACACAUGCAAGUCGAACGAGACCUUCGGGUCUAGUGGCGCACGGGUGCGUAACGCGUGGGAAUCUGCCCUUCGGUUCGGAAUAACAGUUAGAAAUGACUGCUAAUACCGGAUGAUGUCUUCGGACCAAAGAUUUAUCGCCGAGGGAUGAGCCCGCGUAGGAUUAGCUAGUUGGUGAGGUAAAAGCUCACCGAAGGCGACGAUCCUUAGCUGGUCUGAGAGGAUGAUCAGCCACACUGGGACUGAGACACGGCCAGACUCGUACGGGAGGCAGCAGUGGGGAAAUAUUGGGACAAGUGGGACGUAAACGCUAGA
rnacentral:rRNA from 1 species